CAGCCGCCGCGGUAAAACGGAGGGGGCUAGCGUUAAUCGGAAUUACUGGGCGUAAAGCGUGCGUAGGCGGUUCGUUAAGUCUGUUGUGAAAGCCCCGGGCUCAACCUGGGACCUGCAUUUGAGACUGUAUGGCUAGAGUGUGUCAGAGGGGGGUAGAAUUCCACGUGUAGCAGUGAAAUGCGUAGAUAUGUGGAGGAAUACCGAUGGCGAAGGCAGCCCCCUGGGAUAACACUGACGCUCAUGCACGAAAGCGUGGGGAGCAAACAGGAUUAGAUACCCCCGUAGUCCCUGUCUCUUAUAC
rnacentral:rRNA from 1 species